AUUGAACGCUGGCGGUAUGCUUAACACAUGCAAGUCGAACGGAAACGAUACUAGCUUGCUAGUAGGCGUCGAGUGGCGGACGGGUGAGUAACGCGUAGGAAUCUGCCUGAUAGUGGGGGAUAGCCCGGAGAAAUUCGGAUUAAUACCGCAUAAUCUAUUCGUAGUAAAGUGGGGGACUUUCGAGCCUCACGCUAUCAGAUGAGCCUGCGUAAGAUUAGCUUGUUGGUAGGGUAAAAGCCUACCAAGGCGACGAUCUUUAGCUGGUCUGAGAGGAUGAUCAGCCACAUCGGGACUGAGACACGGCCCGAACUCCUACGGGAGGCAGCAGUGGGGAAUAUUGGACAAUGGGGGCAACCCUGAUCCAGCAAUACCGCGUGUGUGAAGAAGGCCUGAGGGUUGUAAAGCACUUUCAAUUGUGAAGAAAAGUUAACGGUUAAUAACCGUUAGCCUUGACGUUAACUUUAGAAGAAGCACCGGCUAACUCCGUGCCAGCAGCCGCGGUAAUACGGAGGGUGCAAGCGUUAAUCGGAAUUACUGGGCGUAAAGCGUGCGUAGGCGGUUUAUUAAGUCAGAUGUGAAAGCCCCGGGCUUAACCUGGGAACUGCAUUUGAAACUGGUAAACUAGAGUAUGGUAGAGGAAAGUGGAAUUUCUGGUGUAGCGGUGAAAUGCGUAGAUACCAGAAGGAACAUCAAUGGCGAAGGCAGCUUUCUGGACCAAUACUGACGCUGAGGUACGAAAGCGUGGGUAGCAAACAGGAUUAGAUACCCUGGUAGUCCACGCCGUAAACGAUGAUAACUAGCCGUUGGGGGGAUUUACCCUUUAGUGGCGAAGCUAACGCGUUAAGUUAUCCGCCUGGGGAGUACGGCCGCAAGGUUAAAACUCAAAGGAAUUGACGGGGACCCGCACAAGCGGUGGAGCAUGUGGUUUAAUUCGAUGCAACGCGAAGAACCUUACCUGGUCUUGACAUCCUGCGAACUUUCUAGAAAUAGAUUGGUGCCUUCGGGAACGCAGUGACAGGUGCUGCAUGGCUGUCGUCAGCUCGUGUCGUGAGAUGUUGGGUUAAGUCCCGUAACGAGCGCAACCCCUAUCCUUAUUUGCCAGCACAUUAUGGUGGGAACUAUAGGGAGACUGCCGGUGAUAAACCGGAGGAAGGCGGGGACGACGUCAAGUCAUCAUGGCCCUUACGACCAGGGCUACACACGUGCUACAAUGGGAAGGACAAAGAGCCGCGAAGCCGCGAGGUGUAGCUAAUCUCAUAAACCUUUUCGUAGUCCGGAUUGGAGUCUGCAACUCGACUCCAUGAAGUCGGAAUCGCUAGUAAUCGUAGAUCAGAAUGCUACGGUGAAUACGUUCCCGGGUCU
rnacentral:rRNA from 1 species